rnacentral:rRNA from 1 species
UACGUAGGGUGCGAGCGUUGCCCGGAUUUAUUGGGCGUAAAGGGCGCGUAGGCGGCCACGCACGUCCGUUGUGAAAUCGCCCGGCUCAACUGGGCGGGGUCAGCGGAUACGGUGUGGCUCGAGCAAGCUAGGGGGCAAUGGAAUUCCCGGUGUAGUGGUGGAAUGCGUAGAUAUCGGGAGGAACACCAGUGGCGAAGGCGGUUGCCUGGAGCUUUGCUGACGCUGAGG